ACCAUCCUCCAAGGCUAAAUACUCCUGACUGACCGAUAGUGAACCAGUACCGUGAGGGAAAGGCGAAAAGAACCCCGGCGAGGGGAGUGAAAAAGAACCUGAAACCGUGUACGUACAAGCAGUGGGAGCACAGAGCAAUCUGUGUGACUGCGUACCUUUUGUAUAAUGGGUCAGCGACUUAUAUUCUGUAGCAAGGUUAACCGAAUAGGGGAGCCGAAGGGAAACCGAGUCUUAACUGGGCGUUAAGUUGCAGGGUAUAGACCCGAAACCCGGUGAUCUAGCCAUGGGCAGGUUGAAGGUUGGGUAACACUAACUGGAGGACCGAACCGACUAAUGUUGAAAAAUUAGCGGAUGACUUGUGGCUGGGGGUGAAAGGCCAAUCAAACCGGGAGAUAGCUGGUUCUCCCCGAAAGCUAUUUAGGUAGCGCCUCGUGAAUUCAUCUCCGGGGGUAGAGCACUGUUUCGGCAAGGGGGUCAUCCCGACUUACCAACCCGAUGCAAACUGCGAAUACCGGAGAAUGUUAUCACGGGAGACACACGGCGGGUGCUAACGUCCGUCGUGAAGAGGGAAACAACCCAGACCGCCAGCUAAGGUCCCAAAGUCAUGGUUAAGUGGGAAACGAUGUGGGAAGGCCCAGACAGCCAGGAUGUUGGCUUAGAAGCAGCCAUCAUUUAAAGAAAGCGUAAUAGCUCACUGGUCGAGUCGGCCUGCGCGGAAGAUGUAACGGGGCUAAACCAUGCACCGAAGCUGCGGCAGCGACGCUUAUGCGUUGUUGGGUA
rnacentral:rRNA from 1 species